rnacentral:rRNA from 1 species
CCCUUAGAUGUUCUGGGCCGCACACGCGCUACACUGAAGGAGGCAGCGUGUACUCCUGGAUCGAAAGAUUUGGGUAACCCGCGAAUCUCCUUCGUGCUAGGGAUUGAGGUUUGCAAUUAUCCUUCAUGAACGAGGAAUUCCCAGUAAGUGCAAGUCAUAAGCUUGCGCUGACUACGUCCCAGCCCUUUGUACACACCGCCCGUCGCUACUACCGAUUGAAUGAUUUAGUGAGGACUUCGGACUGGGACCGAUGCGGCUUUCGGGCUGCGUCGGUAUUCUGGAAAGAUGUCCAAACUGUAUCAUUUAGAGGAAGUAAAAGUCGUAACA